ACUGGGCGUAAAGGGCACGCAGGCGGUGACUUAAGUGAGGUGUGAAAGCCCCGGGCUUAACCUGGGAAUUGCAUUUCAUACUGGGUCGCUAGAGUACUUUAGGGAGGGGUAGAAUUCCACGUGUAGCGGUGAAAUGCGUAGAGAUGUGGAGGAAUACCGAAGGCGAAGGCAGCCCCUUGGGAAUGUACUGACGCUCAUGUGCGAAAGCGUGGGGAGCAAACAGGAUUAGAUACCCUGGUAGUCCACGCUGUAAACGAUGUCGAUUUGGGGGCUGAGCUUUGAGCUUGGCGCCCGUAGCUAACGUGAUAAAUCGACCGCCUGGGGAGUACGGCCGCAAGGUUAAAACUCAAAUGAAUUGACGGGGGCCCGCACAAGCGGUGGAGCAUGUGGUUUAAUUCGAUGCAACGCGAAGAACCUUACCUACUCUUGACAUCCAGAGAACUUUCCAGAGAUGGAUUGGUGCCUUCGGGAACUCUGAGACAGGUGCUGCAUGGCUGUCGUCAGCUCGUGUCGUGAG
rnacentral:rRNA from 1 species